AGGGAGACCUAAUUCAGGUAUAAGACGAAAAAAAGUAGUCCCUACCAAGAAUCAAUCCCAAAAGGUCGGAACGAGGUAUGAGGCUUUCAAACUAGGUUCUGGGUUCAUAAAAGACCUGAAUCAGGAACAAGGGCUAUUAGCUCAGGUGGUUAGAGCGCACCCCUGAUAAGGGUGAGGUCCCUGGUUCGAGUCCAGGAUGGCCCACCUGCACAGGUGGCAAAAACAAGAGAAGCGAGGAAUCAGCACCUUAUCUUAUAUACAUAUAUAAGAGAGAAUGCUGGCUCUGAGUACAGAGUCCAGAGGAACCUUGAAAACUGCAUAGAGCUAGGUGAAAAAGCCAAAAAAGAAGACCGCAA
rnacentral:tRNA from 1 species